GCUCUGAUAGUAUAAUACCAAUUACUCUGGUCUUGUAAACCAGCAAUGAGAUAGACAUUCUCUCAGAACA
rnacentral:tRNA from 1 species